rnacentral:rRNA from 1 species
GACGUAGGGCGCGAGCGUUGUCCGGAUUUAUUGGGCGUAAAGCGCUCGCAGGUGGUUCGAUGCGUCGUGCGUGAAAGACCCCGGCUCAACUGGGGAGGGUCGUGCGAUACGGUCGAACUGGAGGCCAGUAGGGGGAUGCGGAAUUCCGGGUGUAGUGGUGGAAUGCGUAGAGAUCCGGAGGAACACCAGCGGCGAAGGCGGCAUCCUGGACUGGUCCUGACACUCAUGAGCGAAAGCGUGGGGAGCGAUCCGG